AGAUGAUUCUAAAGCACAGCAAAGUUGAGACACUAAAUGCUGGGCGUGGGUACGAGCAAUGCUGCCAUCAUUUCAAUUGCGGGCUGGGCCAAAUCUUUGUGCUCAGCAAAGACCUUUUCACCAGGGGCGUGAAUAGAGCAGGUCUUGUUUGAAUGGCUGUAUGGAUUUUGCAUGAAUCACCCCUGUCCAACGCUGGAGACACCCUUUCCAGAAGAUCCUGAUUCCAGUCUGCAUCCAUCAACCAGUUGCAAGGCUCUUGGAAGCAUCUCUGGGCUUUUGAGCGAUUUCACUCGACCAGAAAACCCAGUGGCUGGACUGAGGAGCAGUCAUGAGACGGAAGCCACGGCAGAUGGAAGCUGGACAUUGCUUUGAUCAGAUGCUCAAGUGACAGGGGACGAGAGCUACCACCUCCAACUUUCCACAAGCUCUUGCUUGCAGUGCCCAUGUCAGGGCUGAGAUGCUUGCUUAAGGUCAGUCAGCUAUGACUCCCUGCCCUCCACCCCGCAUCCCAAGCCCAUGCUGUACACAGUCCUCUGGCCACUUGAAUAUAUGACUCAUUUUAAUAUUUUGUUUUGCAAAUGCAGCCUGACCUUUUAGCACAGUUAAAACUUUGAAAACAAACCUAUGCUUGAAGGAGAGAGGAAAUAAGGCUGUAUAAUCCUGACUUGGCCUUACCUGCCUGCCACAGCAGGGCCUUACCCGACUGCCGCCUCCGGCAUCCAACGCAAUCUGCCUUACUCUUUGGGCUUCUUGGUGAGUGUCUCCAGGAGACCAUGGCAUUCCUUCCUGGAGGAGAGAUUCCUGAGGCCCAGAGGUAUCUGGCUCCAGUUCACUUAAGCGAACAAGGCUCUAACGUUAGGCUUUGCCGUCUCUGAGACUACAAGAUUUCUGGAUGUCUCAUUUACUUUCUAUUAAUAGACAUGGGUCGUUAUGGUUUAUGUAUACACUUAUGUGUCAGAAUUCAACCAUUCAUAGCCAUAUCAUGACUAGUGGUUUAAACUCCAACCUCAGAGCAAUAAAUCCCAUAAAAAUUCCGA
rnacentral:lncRNA from 1 species